UCAUCUUCGGGGGUAGAGCACUGUUUCGGCUAGGGGGUCAUCCCGACUUACCAACCCGAUGCAAACUACGAAUACCGAAGAAUGUUAUCACGGGAGACACACGGCGGGGGCUAACGUCCGUCGUGAAGAGGGAAACAACCCAGACCGCCAGCUAAGGUCCCAAAGUCAUGGUUAAGUGGGAAACGAUGUGGGAAGGCACAGACAGCCAGGAUGUUGGCUUAGAAGCAGCCAUCAUUUAAAGAAAGCGUAAUAGCUCACUGGUCGAGUCGGCCUGCGCGGAAGAUGUAACGGGGCUAAACCAUGCACCGAAGCUGCGGCAGCGACGCUUAUGCGUUGUUGGGUAGGGGAGCGUUCUGUAAGCCUGCGAAGGUGGCCUGUGAGGGCUGCUGGAGGUAUCAGAAGUGCGAAUGCUGACAUAAGUAACGAUAAAGCGGGUGAAAAGCCCGCUCGCCGGAAGACCAAGGGUUCCUGUCCAACGUUAAUCGGGGCAGGGUGAGUCGACCCCUAAGGCGAGGCCGAAAGGCGUAGUCGAUGGGAAACAGGUUAAUAUUCCUGUACUUGGUGUUACUGCGAAGGGGGGACGGAGAAGGCUA
rnacentral:rRNA from 1 species